AUAACGGGUAACGCCCGCCGAAGGCGACUUCAGGAAAAGUGCAACAGAGAUAUACCGCCUCCGUUGGAGGUAAGGGUGGAAAGGCGAGGUAAGAGCUCACCCAUCGGCUCGAGAGUGUCCGAUGCUGUAAACUCUAUCCGGAGCAACACCGGUAUGGGAGCAAUAGGGCGGCCCGUCCGCUCCCGAGGUGGCUGAAGCGCACCGGCAACGGCGCGCUUAGAUAGAUGACUGUCAAAUACAGAACCCGGCUUACAGACUUGCUCGCGCA
rnacentral:RNase_P_RNA from 1 species